ensembl:lncRNA
CCUCACACAAGGUGAAGGAUCAGAUGAGAAUAUGAAUACUUAGGAAAGUCAUCUUCUUCUUCAAGAAGUAACUCAAGGUACUCGAGCACUGGUCUCCUAUCACUGUCUGAAGUGCUCUUUGGUUUUCCAAUUAGAGGAUAAGAUCUUUGGAGGGAAAGCAGAAGAAAUCCUGAUUCAAGGUGGCUGAGGCCAGAAUGAAAUGACUGUCAAAUAAUAGGUGGUCUGGAAUCUGGGUAUUCUCCAGGAAGAUCCAGGAGCUCAACUCUAUUGUCAAGGAUGAGAUGCUUGCCCAUUCUGUUUUGUAGAGCAUCAAACCACAGCUGAGUCCCCUCAAAAGUCA